rnacentral:lncRNA from 1 species
AGGCAAGGCUGCCUUAAAAUCCAUCAAAAGCUUCAUCACAAAUGUCUGGGAACUGGAGAGCAUUGCAAUACAGGCAGCAUCAGAUGAAGGUCAGCUUAUGUACUUGCCAUUUGUGGAAGACAGCAUGAGCAGAUUAAACCCGAGCUCAUCCGUCUACAAGACUUUGGAGAGGGGCAAAAUCAGUCUUGAGAAGCUCAGGAGCUUCGCCUUUGAAGCUUCAAGCAGUGGUACCAUGAACUGGCUUCAGAGGUUUGAUGAGAUUUCUCUACUUUUUAAGUAUGGUCUGGAUACCACUCCUCUUUUUAUCUUGAUCUCUUUUUAUAGAAACAAAGACGCCAACAACAUCUUAGAGAGCAAAGCAG